rnacentral:rRNA from 1 species
UACAGAGGACUCAAGCGUUGUUCGGAUUCAUUGGGCGUAAAGGGUGCGUAGGUGGCGGGGCAAGUCAGGUGUGAAAUCUCGGGGCUCAACCCCGAAACUGCACUUGAUACUGCUUUGCUCGAGUACUGGAGAGGAGACUGGAAUUUACGGUGUAGCAGUGAAAUGCGUAGAUAUCGUAAGGAAGACCAGUGGCGAAGGCGAGUCUCUGGACAGUUACUGACACUGAGACACGAAGGCCAGGGGAGCAAACGGG